rnacentral:rRNA from 1 species
CCGUAGUCGAUGGAAAACAGGUUAAUAUUCCUGUACUUCUGGUUAUUGCGAUGGAGGGACGGAGAAGGCUAGGCCAGCUUGGCGUUGGUUGUCCAAGUUUAAGGUGGUAGGCUGGAAUCUUAGGUAAAUCCGGGAUUCUAAGGCCGAGAGCUGAUGACGAGUUACCCUUUGGGUGACGAAGUGGUUGAUGCCAUGCUUCCAAGAAAAGCUUCUAAGCUUCAGGUAACCAGGAACCGUACCCCAAACCGACACAGGUGGUUGGGUAGAGAAUACCAAGGCGCUUGAGAGAACUCGGGUGAAGGAACUAGGCAAAAUGGCACCGUAACUUCGGGAGAAGGUGCGCCGGUGAGGGUGAAGGACUUACUCCGUAAGCCCACGCCGGUCGAAGAUACCAGGCCGCUGCGACUGUUUAUUAAAAACACAGCACUCUGCAAACACGAAAGUGGACGUAUAGGGUGUGACGCCUGCCCGGUGCCGGAAGGUUAAUUGAUGGGGUUAGCUAACGCGAAGCUCUUGAUCGAAGCCCCGGUAAACGGCGGCCGUAACUAUAACGGUCCUAAGGUAGCGAAAUUCCUUGUCGGGUAAGUUCCGACCUGCACGAAUGGCGUAACGAUGGCGGCGCUGUCUCCACCCGAGACUCGGUGAAAUUGAAAUCGCUGUGAAGAUGCAGUGUAUCCGCGGCUAGACGGAAAGACCCCGUGAACCUUUACUAUAGCUUUGCACUGGACUUUGAAUUUGCUUGUGAAGGAUAGGUGGGAGGCUUUGAAGCGUGGACGCCAGUUCGCGUGGAGCCAACCUUGAAAUACCACCCUGGCGACUUUGAGGUUCUAACUCAGGUCCGUUAUCCGGAUCGAGGACAGUGUAUGGUGGGUAGUUUGACUGGGGCGGUCUCCUCCUAAAGAGUAACGGAGGAGUACGAAGGUGCGCUCAGACCGGUCGGAAAUCGGUCGUAGAGUAUAAAGGCAAAAGCGCGCUUGACUGCGAGACAGACACGUCGAGCAGGUACGAAAGUAGGUCUUAGUGAUCCGGUGGUUCUGUAUGGAAGGGCCAUCGCUCAACGGAUAAAAGGUACUCCGGGGAUAACAGGCUGAUACCGCCCAAGAGUUCAUAUCGACGGCGGUGUUUGGCACCUCGAUGUCGGCUCAUCACAUCCUGGGGCUGAAGCCGGUCCCAAGGGUAUGGCUGUUCGCCAUUUAAAGUGGUACGCGAGCUGGGUUUAGAACGUCGUGAGACAGUUCGGUCCCUAUCUGCCGUGGACGUUUGAGAUUUGAGAGGGGCUGCUCCUAGUACGAGAGGACCGGAGUGGACGAACCUCUGGUGUUCCGGUUGUCACGCCAGUGGCAUUGCCGGGUAGCUAUGUUCGGAAUAGAUAACCGCUGAAAGCAUCUAAGCGGGAAACUAGCCUCAAGAUGAGAUCUCACUGGGACCUUGAGUCCCCUGAAGGGCCGUCGAAGACUACGACGUUGAUAGGUUGGGUGUGUAAGCGCUGUGAGGCGUUGAGCUAACCAAUACUAAUUGCCCGUGAGGCUUGAGCA